AAAAUACUAUGGUUCUAUCCGGUAUCCACUUGUUAUAUAAAUACUGAACCCAUGAUGAAACAAAAUGUAGUUCCUAGUGAUUUUACAACAUCCACAAAAUGAAGAAGGUUAUCUUGAUAUGCUUCCUACUCAUGGUUUCUGCAUCUGGAUCAGGAAUUCCAUCCAAGCCUAAAGACACCCCAAAUCCCCCAAUUGGUACUUUAGUUACAUGUACGAAAUCCGCUGAUUGUACAUCUUAUUGUACGUGUGAUAAGAGCAAACAACUUUGUAUAAAUAAGAAUUGUUAUUGUAGUGACAAAAAAUGCUAAGUCUACCGGUGAGAUAUCACUGGCAAUGAAUGCAUUUAGCCAAUAUAAAUAAAUGUUAUAAAUUUAGAUGUGCUAUUUAUCUAGAACUUAAACAUUCAA